rnacentral:rRNA from 1 species
AGAGUUUGAUCCUGGCUCAGGACGAACGCUGGCGGCACGCUUAACACAUGCAAGUCGAACGAUGAAAAGAAAAGCUUGCUUUUCUUGGAUUAGUGGCGGACGGGUGAGUAACACGUGAGCAAUCUGCCUUUCAGAGAGGGACAGCAGUUGGAAACGACUGAUAAUACCUCAUAACAUAACGGUACCGCAUGAUACUGUUAUCAAAGAUUUAUCGCUGAAAGAUGAGCUCGCGUCUGAUUAGCUAGAUGGUGAGGUAACGGCCCACCAUGGCAACGAUCAGUAGCCGGACUGAGAGGUUGGACGGCCACAUUGGGACUGAGACACGGCCCAGACUCCUACGGGAGGCAGCAGUGGGGAAUAUUGCACAAUGGAGGGAACUCUGAUGCAGCGAUGCCGCGUGAGGGAAGAAGGUUUUAGGAUUGUAAACCUCUGUCUUCAGGGACGAUAAUGACGGUACCUGAGGAGGAAGCUCCGGCUAACUACGUGCCAGCAGCCGCGGUAAUACGUAGGGAGCGAGCGUUGUCCGGAAUUACUGGGUGUAAAGGGAGCGUAGGCGGGAUUGCAAGUCAGAUGUGAAAUUUAUGGGCUCAACCCAUAACGUGCAUUUGAAACUGCAGUUCUUGAGUGAAGUAGAGGUAAGCGGAAUUCCUAGUGUAGCGGUGAAAUGCGUAGAUAUUAGGAGGAACAUCAGUGGCGAAGGCGGCUUACUGGGCUUUAACUGACGCUGAGGCUCGAAAGCGUGGGGAGCAAACAGGAUUAGAUACCCUGGUAGUCCACGCCGUAAACGAUGAUUACUAGGUGUGGGGGGACUGACCCCUUCCGUGCCGGAGUUAACACAAUAAGUAAUCCACCUGGGGAGUACGACCGCAAGGUUGAAACUCAAAGGAAUUGACGGGGGCCCGCACAAGCAGUGGA